rnacentral:rRNA from 1 species
AUGGCAGCUACCAGCAAAAGGAAUAGUAGGACCGGAGAAGGAAAGCGACGCCAUACCAGAAGGAUUAGCACAGGUGCGUCUCCCGGCAACGCGCGGUCGUCGCCGGAGACCCAGUCGAGGGCGACGGCUCCGUCGUCAGGGGUGCGUAGGCACUCGCGCCGGAAUGCCACGGUGGGGAGCGAGCGCGUGAAGGCCGCGAAGAUGGUCUCGACGUGGCGGUUGGACGCGAAGACGGGGAAGGCGCGGUACGGGCGGCGGAGGCUGUCGAAGCCGGCGAGGAGGCCGCGCCGCGCGCCGGCGAUCUCGAGGCUCGAGUGCGGGAGGAGAGGCUGCUCCCCGUCGCCGUCGCAGCUUCGAGAGGAGAUGACGGAGGAGGAGAGCGACAUGGUGGUUGGUAGGAGUAGGUAG